rnacentral:rRNA from 1 species
GAUGAACGCUGGCGGCGUGCCUAAUACAUGCAAGUCGAGCGAACGGACUAGAAGCUUUCUUCUCUGAUGUUAGCGACUGACGUGGUAGUAACACGUGGAUAACCGACCGAUAAAACUGGGAUAAAUUCGGGAAACCGGAGCGGAUACCGGGUAAUAUUUUGUACCGCAUGGGUCAAAAGUGUAAUACGGUCUUGCUGUCACUUAGAGAUGUAUCAGAGCUUCAUUAGCUAUUUGGUAAGGUAACGGCUUACCAAGGCAACGAUGCAUAGCCGAUCUGAGAGGGUGAUCGGCGACACUGGCACUGAGGCACGGUCCAGAAUACUACGGGAGGCAGAAGUAGGAAAUCUCCCGCAAUGGGAGAAAGCCGGAAGGAGCAACGACGCGUGAGUGAUGAAGGUCUUCGGGUCGUAAAACUCUGUUAUUAGGGAAGAACAUAUGUGUAAGUAAAUGUGAACAUCUUGACGGUACCUAACCAGAAAGCCACGGCUAACUACGUG